rnacentral:rRNA from 1 species
CCAGCUCCAAUAGCGUAUAUUUAAGUUGUUGCAGUUAAAAAGCUCGUAGUUGGAUUUCGGGUGGGUGUUAGCGGUCCGGCUCUGCUGUGUACUGCUAGUGCCUACCUUUCUGCCGGGGACGGGCUCUUGGGCUUAACUGUCCGGGACUCGGAGUCGGCGAGGUUACUUUGAGUAAAUUAGAGUGUUCAAAGCAGGCGUUCGCUAUGAAUACAUUAGCAUGGAAUAACACGAUAGGACUCUGGCUUAUCUUGUUGGUCUGUAAGACCGGAGUAAUGAUUAAGAGGGACAGUCGGGGGCAUUCGUAUUUCAUUGUCAGAGGUGAAAUUCUUGGAUUUAUGAAAGACGAACUUCUGCGAAAGCAUUUGCCAAGGAUGUUUUCA